GCAAGGAACUGAGGCCUCUGGCCAACAGCCAGCAAGGACCUGAGGCCUGUAAACACCUGAGGCUGUGUGAGUGACUUUGGAAAAAGGUCCCCUCCCAGCUGGCUUAGAGAUGACCAUAGCUCCAGCUCAUACCUUGUAACGUUAUGACCCUGAGUCAGAGGCCCCCAGCUGAGCCACAUCCGGAUUCCUGACCCACAGAAACUGUACAGCAGUAAAUGUUUCUCAUUUUAAGUCACUAAGUUUGGGGGUGCUUUGUUAUGCCAUAAUAGAUAACAUACUGCUUCGCUGGAAUGAAAGCUCAAUGGUGUUGGGUGCACAUUUGUCACCUGGGAAUACUACCAGCAAGCCCCAUAUUUUUUCUGCAGUAAAUGCUGGAAAGGAAAAAGAAAUGCUGAAAAUGAUGAAGUAAUUCCAAUUCUGCUGAUAGAGACCUGGAAAUGCACUAGGGAAAAAUGACAAGAGUGUAACACAUUUAUUCCUACUGCUGAUUACGUCAUAAUGAUUAUUUUGUGCUGUUUGAAGAAGACUCACUGUUCUGAAGAACUAGCAUCCAUUUCCAGGAAAGACAGAGCUGGGAUUCUCAAUCCAUACUCCAUGGGAUGAACCACAUUGAAAAUAAUGGUUUCCUUCUAAUAGCUUACUCUACAUUAUCUACAGAAUUCCUUGGGAUUCUACAGAAACCUAAUAAUAUAGUAAUAAUAAUAAUAAUAACAGAGGUUUGUUUUUGCUAUGUGUUAUCUAAUAUUCAGAUUGUGAGCAGCUGUUUUGGAAGGCAAGAGGAGUGAAUGGAUGUGAAGUCAUCUUAGAAAUGUCCAGGUUUCCAAAAGAAAUUUCACUUUUAAAAGAAAAUAGCAUAAUGUGAACCACAUUAGAAUCAGCACAUCUAAUCCUACGGAGAAAAAGUGACCAUGGCUGUCUACACAUAUAGGCAGGUCAUUCAAGCUCAUUCAAAAAUUCCACUUUCACUGGUGGUCUGUCUAUGUCCACAUGGUGACAAAUGGCCCCGGCAGGGUUUUCGAGGUGUUGGCGCCACCAGUGAGUGCCAGAUGGAAUGUGGUGAAAGUUCUGAUUUGUACCUUUCAGACCAAAGGUACUUUCCAGAAUGGACGGGUCCUUCUGGCUGCCUUUUGUAAGUGCAGCCACAGGUAUUCUGUUGAAGCCUGUGGGUGAGAAAGACAUAAACAGGUGCUAUAAAUUUGUCAGACCAGGAAGCCACAGGCCGUUUAGUAAAUGGUAAACCCAAUGGCCCAAAAGAACAAAGGGGUCUCUUUUCAUCAGAAUGAUCAGGCUCAUUCAACAAAUAUUUAUUGAGUACCCACUCUCUGCCAGAUGGAAGAGCCACUGACAAGCCCUCUUAUUUAAAGAGUGCCUGAAGUGAGGAAGCAAACCCCCAAAUCAUCUGGGAUGGUAUGAACUGACCUCUGGACCGCAACAUGCUGGAAAGGAGGAGCUGGGGUCCCAAGGGCAGGCCAAGCAUCCUAAACCUGUGACACUCACCCUGCCCACACUCUCAGAGCUGCAGCUUUCAUGGGGGUGACAUGAAUGCUUGUAAAUGAGCUUGCUGAAUGGGAGACCAAGAACAAUGAUGAUAUUGAGCUGUUACUACGUGCCAGACAUUUAACCCUUUCAUCCAGAUUAUCUCAGUCAUUCCUCACAAAAAGGCUUUUGAGGUAAGUUCAAUCAUUUCCCCCAUUUUAUAAGUGGGAAAACUGAGACUUUACGAGAGGUCAAUAUUUACACUAUACCCCCACUGGGAAGGGGUGCAGCUGAGAUGUAUUUCCAGUUAAUUACACAGAUGAGACUGCCUGCUUUUUCUAUGAAUAUUUCCAACUAUUAGAUUGAGUGAGUGUUAAUUAAUCAACGUAUUACUUUAAAAAUCAACUUGUUCAUGUUCUAAUGCCCGUUUGUCACUCAAGUAUUUGCAAAAUCAGGGGAUAAUUUUUUUCUAGACUCUCACUCCUUUUCCAGAUAUAAGCUUUUAAAAGCCUUUGUUUAAUCUUUGAUAUAAUAGCUGGUGAGAUAUCUAAUACCUUUGCUAUUUUUUCUUUGAGGAUAUAAGUCUUGAUAUUUAUUUGUUUAAGCCAGUAGCUCUCAACCUUGGCUGUGCAUUAGAAUCACUUACAGUAGCUUUUAAAGAUCCUGAUGCUGGACCACACCCAAGGCCAAUUAAAUUAGAAUUGCUGAGGGUGAUACCCAGGUGAUUACAAUGAGCAUCCAAGGUUGAAAACACUGAUUUAAACAACUCUGCCCUGGACUUUCCUGUAUCUCCAUUUCACCUGGACUGCUGUGGCUUUCACUUAUCUAGUUAGAACUAUGAUUUGGCCAAUUCAUUGCUCAUUCCCAAAGGGGAUCUCAUUACCAGUCUCUAAUACAGAGGCUGAAAAAGCUAAAUAUUCUGUCUUCCAUAUGUCCUUGCAACUGGAGGUGCCAUAUGAUACAGUUCUGCCCAAAGACAAGAAAGUAAAUGUCUGUUGAGGGCUUCCAAAAAGCCAAUACAUACAGGUGUCACCAACAACAGGUAAGUCAAUUCAGGUGGUUGGAUUUUUCACUUUUCGUCUGAAUGUUUACCUGUAUCUGAAUGUCUCCAUAGACAUAGACCGAGCAUGUGACUUGAGGCAAAGUUAAUUUGAGUAAGAAACCAAGGGAGAAUUUUAUCUCUUUUUAUUGAUGCCUUGGUCUCUUUCCAUUUUUUCAUAGAGACCCAGGAGUCCAUGUCAAAAGUAUCCUAAAGAGGAGGUAAAGGCUAAGAAAUUUGAGAACCCUAAGAUUUUCUUUGAAAUUCUGUGGAGAUGAUGCUAAGAGGAUCAAUUAUAAAAUGCUUAUUGGAUGUAAUUUUCAUGUUAGAUGGGUGAGAUUUCCAGGAAGAAGCCUAAGGGAUUGUAGGUAAUAUAAAGCCUCAAGGUAGAAAACACUGA